rnacentral:rRNA from 1 species
AACGAACGCUGGCGGCAGGCCUAACACAUGCAAGUCGAACGAGAAGCCACCUUCGGGUGGUGGACAGUGGCAGACGGGUGAGUAACGCGUGGGAACGUGCCUUUCGGUUCGGGAUAACCCAGGGAAACUUGGGCUAAUACCGGAUACGCCCUCCGGGGAAGAUCAUUGCCGAAAGAUCGGCCCGCGUCGGAUUAGCUAGUUGGUGGGGUAAAAGCCUACCAAGGCGACGAUCCGUAGCUGGUCUGAGAGGAUGACCAGCCACACUGGACUGAGACACGGCCCAGACUCCUACGGGAGGCAGCAGGUGGGGAAUAUUGGACAAUGGGCGCAAGCCUGAUCCAGCCAUGCCGCGUGGGUGAAGAA